rnacentral:miRNA from 1 species
GGGCAGGGCUGGGCUGGGCUGCCCGAGUCCGGUGGUCUGCGUGUGCAUCUUGGCCUCGUCCCCUUCCCUGGCCGUGUGUAUCC